rnacentral:rRNA from 1 species
AACGAACGCUGGCGGCAGGCCUAACACAUGCAAGUCGAGCGGACCCUUCGGGGUUAGCGGCGGACGGGUGAGUAACGCGUGGGAAUAUGCCCUUCUCUACGGAAUAGUCCUGGGAAACUGGGGGUAAUACCGUAUACGCCCUUUGGGGGAAAGAUUUAUCGGGGAAGGAUUAGCCCGCGUUGGAUUAGGUAGUUGGUGGGGUAAUGGCCUACCAAGCCGACGAUCCAUAGCUGGUUUGAGAGGAUGAUCAGCCACACUGGGACUGAGACACGGCCCAGACUCCUACGGGAGGCAGCAGUGGGGAAUCUUAGACAAUGGGGGCAACCCUGAUCUAGCCAUGCCGCGUGAGUGAUGAAGGCCUUAAGGUUGUAAAGCUCUUUCAGCUGGGAAGAUAAUGACGGUACCAGCAGAAGAAGCCCCGGCUAACUCCGUG